GACGAACGCUGGCGGCGCGCCUAACACAUGCAAGUCGAACGAGAGAUGAGGAGCUUGCUCUUCAAAUCGAGUGGCGAACGGGUGAGUAACGCGUGAGGAACCUGCCUCAAAGAGGGGGACAACAGUUGGAAACGGCUGCUAAUACCGCAUAAGCCCAUGGCUCGGCAUCGAGCAGAGGGAAAAGGAGCAAUCCGCUUUGAGAUGGCCUCGCGUCCGAUUAGCUAGUUGGUGAGGUAACGGCCCACCAAGGCGACGAUCGGUAGCCGGACUGAGAGGUUGAACGGCCACAUUGGGACUGAGACACGGCCCAGACUCCUACGGGAGGCAGCAGUGGGGAAUAUUGCACAAUGGGGGAAACCCUGAUGCAGCGACGCCGCGUGGAGGAAGAAGGUCUUCGGAUUGUAAACUCCUGUUGUUGAGGAAGAUAAUGACGGUACUCAACAAGGAAGUGA
rnacentral:rRNA from 1 species